CCCAUCCAUAAGAGGGGGCAGGCCCCUCUUGCAUUAUCCACGGGUUGGCGCCCCUAGUUCUGCCAAAAAGAGAGGAAGGGGCCACCCUUCUUUUCAUUUAUUCAACACACACAUUAGGAGAUAAUGAGAAGAUAAUGAAGAGAUAAUAAGAAGCUAAUUUAGCUAACUAAUUGACUUAAUCCAAUCUUUUUGGGCUCACAAUUAAGUACCUAAUUAAAUCUAAAUAGAUUUAGGUAAGGUUUAAGGCUAUGGACUUGAUUCAAUCGAAGUUCCGAGAAGAAUUAGGUUUAAUCAUGUGCUAGCAAGGUUCUUUUAAACCUAAUAGAAUUUCAAUAAAUCCUAAUCCAAUUAGAACUUCAUAAGUUCAAUUAACAAAUUCAAGAUUAAAUUUUUUAAUGUGUGACCUUAUAGGUUUUAUUCUAUCUAGUAGUGAGAUAUACUAUGAUCUCCAUCAUAAUAUCAUCGAAACUCUUUUUGAUGGA
rnacentral:lncRNA from 1 species